AUCUAAACAAUGAAGAGCACACACUUGAUAUAGAAAUAAGUAUAUGAUGAUUUUUAUGUUAAUUAGGCAACAAUGAAUCAAUAUUAUUACCUCAAGAUAUAAUAAGAAGCAAAUUGGCAUAAAUAUUAAAUGAAAACUAAAGAUGCAAGAAAAAAAUAAUGAAUAUGAAAUUUAAUGCACAAAACUUGUAAUUCUCUAAUAGAACCAUAAAUUAUCACCCAAAAUACUUAAAUU
rnacentral:lncRNA from 1 species